UGCCGAUUUUCUUCUGGGGAGAGAGGCGUUUGGGCCCUGCGGGCGGAUCAGCGCAGGAUUUGGAUUGGACGGGGCUGACGGGUAUUAGGGCCUCUCACACUUAUAAAGUCAGAAAAGAAAUCAAGCAUUGUCUUGGUCAGAAAUGAUUAUCAAGAAUGCAAGGAGCUCAAAGAAGGUGGCUGUUUUACUGAAAUAAUGUUCUGAACCAUGAGAUGGAUGUCGUGUCCUGGUUACCACAGCUUCAUACCACCCAGAGGAGGAAAGAGCCCAAGCUUCUGCAGGUGAUGA